UACGUAGGUGGCAAGCGUUGUCCGGAUUUACUGGGCGUAAAGGAUGCGUAGGCGGACAUUUAAGUCAGAUGUGAAAUACCCAAGCUUAACUUGGAUGCUGCAUUUGAAACUGGAUGUCUAGAGUGCAGAAAAGGUAAGUGGAAUUCCUAGUGUAGCGGUGAAAUACGUAGAGAUUAGAAAGAACACCAGUGGCGAAGACGACUUACUGGACUGUAACUGACGCUAAGGCAUGAAAGCAUGGGGAGCAAACAGG
rnacentral:rRNA from 1 species